GGGGACUGCGGAAGGAUCAUUAAAGAGUAAGGGUGCUCAGCGCCCGACCUCCAACCCUUUGUUGUUAAAACUACCUUGUUGCUUUGGCGGGACCGCUCGGUCUCGAGCCGCUGGGGAUUCGUCCCAGGCGAGCGCCCGCCAGAGUUAAACCAAACUCUUGUUAUUUAACCGGUCGUCUGAGUUAAAAUUUUGAAUAAAUCAAAACUUUCAACAACGGAUCUCUUGGUUCUCGCAUCGAUGAAGAACGCAGCGAAAUGCGAUAAGUAAUGUGAAUUGCAGAAUUCAGUGAAUCAUCGAAUCUUUGAACGCACAUUGCGCCCCUUGGUAUUCCGAGGGGCAUGCCUGUUCGAGCGUCAUUACACCACUCAAGCUAUGCUUGGUAUUGGGCGUCGUCCUUAGUUGGGCGCGCCUUAAAGACCUCGGCGAGGCCACUCCGGCUUUAGGCGUAGUAGAAUUUAUUCGAACGUCUGUCAAAGGAGAGGAACUCUGCCGACUGAAACCUUUAUUUUUCUAGGUUGACCUCGGAUCAGGUAGGGAUACCCGCUGAACUUAA
rnacentral:misc_RNA from 1 species